CCUACGGGGGGCAGCAGUGGGGAAUAUUGGGCAAUGGAGGCAACUCUUACCCAGCAAUGCCGCGUGAAUGAAGAAGGUCUUCGGAUUGUAAAGUUCUUUAAUUGGGGACGAAAAAAAUGACGGUACCCAAGGAAUAAGCCCCGGCUAACUACGUGCCAGCAGCCGCGGUAAUACGUAGGGGGCAAGCGUUGUUCGGAAUGACUGGGCGUAAAGGGUGUGUAGGCGGUGUAGCAAGUUAGAAGUGAAAUACCUAGAGCUUAACUCAGGUGCUGCUUCUAAAACUGCUAUACUUGAGUGCAGUAGAG
rnacentral:rRNA from 1 species